GACGAACGCUGGCGGCGUGCUUAACACAUGCGAGUCGAACGGAAAGGCCCCUUUGGGGGUCCUCGAGUGGCGAACGGGUGAGUAACACGUGAGUAACCUGCCCUUGACUUCGGGAUAACUUCAGGAAACUGGGGCUAAUACCGGAUAGGAAUCCUUGCUGCAUGGUGGGGGUUGGAAAGCUUCGGCGGUUUUGGAUGGACUCGCGGCUUAUCAGCUUGUUGGUGGGGUAGUGGCUUACCAAGGCUUUGACGGGUAGCCGGCCUGAGAGGGCGACCGGCCACAUUGGGACUGAGAUACGGCCCAGACUCCUACGGGAGGCAGCAGUGGGGAAUAUUGCACAAUGGGCGGAAGCCUGAUGCAGCAACGCCGCGUGCGGGAUGACGGCCUUCGGGUUGGAAACCGCUUUCAGCAGGGGCGAAGCUUGUGGUGACGGUACCUGCAGAAGAAGCACCGGCUAACUACGUG
rnacentral:rRNA from 1 species